GGCAGAGGUGCCAAGCGUUAGGCGGAAUCACUGGGCUUAAAGCGUGUGUAGGCGGAUCGUUAAGUACCUUGUGAAAUCCCACGGCUCAACCGUGGAACUGCUGGGUAUACUGGCGAUCUUGAGCCACCUAGGGGCGAGCGGAACAAGCGGUGGAGCGGUGAAAUGCGUAGAUAUCGCUUGGAACGCCAAUGGUGAAAACAGCUCGCUGGGGGUGUGCUGACGCUGAGACACGAAAGCCAGGGGAGCGAACGGG
rnacentral:rRNA from 1 species